rnacentral:rRNA from 1 species
CAGCAGUGGGGAAUUUUCCGCAAUGGGCGAAAGCCUGACGGAGCAAUACCGCGUGAGGGAGGAAGGCUCUUGGGUCGUAAACCUCUUUUCUCAGGGAAGAAGACAAUGACGGUACCUGAGGAAUCAGCAUCGGCUAACUCCGUGCCAGCAGCCGCGGUAAUACGGAGGAUGCAAGCGUUAUCCGGAAUGAUUGGGCGUAAAGCGUCCGUAGGUGGCGAUUCAAGUCUGCUGUUAAAGCGCAGGGCUUAACCCUGUAAAGGCGGUGGAAACUGGAGAGCUAGAGUGUGGUAGGGGUAGAGGGAAUUCCCGGUGUAGCGGUGAAAUGCGUAGAGAUCGGGAAGAACACCAGUGGCGAAGGCGCUCUACUGGGCCAUAACUGACACUGAUGGACGAAAGCUAGGGGAGCGAAUGGGAUUAGA